GCCGUGUCUUCAGCUCUUUGAAAAGGUGAAACCAAUAAGAUUAAAUCGGACAAAGAUUUUUUUCCCUGCAAGUGUAUCACUAAGAUUAAACUCCGCAUACUGUUAAGGGGGUCCACAGCAGAAGAGGAGAGGAGAGCGAGAGGGACAGCGAAUGGAAGCAGGGGUAGACGCUCAAAGACAAUUCUGGGAAACGGCGAGAGAAAAAGGAGAAAUUGGACGGCAGGAUAUGAAAAGAAGAAGCACCGUCGAAAGCGAUUGUCAGUGGAGGAGCAGCUUUGUAAUUGCACAAAAAACAGCCACCGGCAAGGUGCCUGUCAAAUAUCCAGGGAUUGAUGCAGCGUCGAGGAAUCAAGUGGAUGAAAAGAAGACUUAACGCCGGUUUGGGUGCAUACGCAGAAAAAACUGCGACCCCGAACGGAGGAAAAAAAGAGGAGGGAGGCUGCAUUUUAAACAGCAAAAAUGGGACUUUUUUCUCCUACUGUGGUGGAGAGGAGUGACCAGAAAAGAGUUGUAUUAAAUAGAGAGCGACGUGGCGGCCCUGGCAUUCGCGAACACAGUGGGACACAUUAAAGUGGUGCGAGUGGAGUGGUGCGGGAUGUCAUUUAUGGUGGAGAGCGAUGACACUGCUUGGCACAAGUUUUGGGAAUAUUUGGUACAUAUACAUGUAAUAAAUUAACUGUGGAUUUCUGGGGGAUUUUAAGGUGCCUUAUCAUUUGAAUAUUAUUGCCAAUGUUCAUAUUGUCUUCAUUUUUCUUGUGCACUGUGUGUUUAUCAAGAAAAAUUAGAUUAGAUUAAACUUUUUUGUCAUUACAUAUGUACAAGUACGGAGCAACGAAAUGCAGUUUGGCAUCCAAAAAAUAGAGCUUCUUUUACUCUGAAAGGAGACCCAGCAUUCCGAAACUUUAAUUAUCUGCUUAUUGAGAAAUACUGAAGCGUGCUCUCUGGGAAACUGACAGCUGCUCCUUUUGUAGGGGGAAAAAAAAAAUCACUUUAACACCCAUUAUUAGUACAAUGAUAUGCAACCCAAAAGUUUGUAUUAUGUGUUAGAGCAUGCUGCAGGAGAGUAUGAGAGGGACACUUUCACACCUUUGUGUUUACUUGAGUUCGUGUGCCUGUAAUAGCCAGGCCAGUUCCCCUCAGAUGUUCCCUUUGGCCUUUGACCCCGGAGUUGAGGUUAAAUCCAGACAAAUGAGAUGGCCAAGUGCUGGCCAGAACCGCAAACAUUCCACAACAAUCUACUAUCCUCCUCCUCCCCACGCCUCAUUUCCGUCAUUCCUCACUCCUUUCAAUAUGUCUUGUUUUUAGCCGUGAGUGAUGCAGAGAAUGUUCUCAUUACACAAAAGCAUGUUUUAUUGUAUUUCCAGUGAGAAACCUAAAGCACAUACACUUCAAAUUACGAAUUACAUUAGUUAAACUUAAUAUCCCUGACAUCAGCCUUGUUUACAGAAGGAAGGAAAACAAGCGGGUACGAUCUGAGGAGAAGCUCUGCUACCUUACACUGUGUG